UACAGAGGGUGCGAGCGUUGUCCGGAAUCACUGGGCGUAAAGGGCGCGUAGGCGGCUUUUCAAGCGUGCGGUGAAAGCUCGGGGCUUAACUCCGAGUCUGCCGUGCGGACUGGGAGGCUUGAGUCUGGUAGAGGUCGAGGGAAUUCCGGGUGUAGCGGUGGAAUGCGUAGAGAUCCGGAAGAACACCAGUGGCGAAGGCGGUCGACUGGGCCAGUACUGACGCUGAGGCGCGACAGCGUGGGGAGCAAACAGG
rnacentral:rRNA from 1 species